GUUGGGGAAGGCUUCCUCUAGAAGGUGGAAUUUUAAUUGGGACUUAAAGUCCAAGAGGUCUGUAAGAGGAGUGGAAGAGGUGUGGGAGAUAAUCCAAGAAUGCCCAGAGCAGAGAGAUGAGAUGCUUUGUGUGUGGAACAGCCAAGAGGCCAGUGUCACUUGGAAGGAAGGAAGAAUAAGGGGAGAAAGGGAAGGAGAAAAAAUUGGAACUCAAAAUCUUAUUUUAAAAAAAGAAUGUCACAAACUGUCUUUACAAGUCAUGGAAGAAAGGGAAUUGAGGUGGACAUGUGAGAAUGUGGAUUUUGCCUGAUGGAACCUAAUGAAUUAUUUUUAAAAAUCAUGUUAGAUGCAGAGAAGCUUUUGAUAAAAUAGAAUGUCCUUUAAUUAAAAAAAAAAACAUUCCAAGUAUAGGCAUAGAAGGACUUUUUUUAAAAAUAACAAGAUGUAUCUAUCAAAAACUAAAAGAAAGCAUUAU